rnacentral:rRNA from 1 species
UACGGAGGGUGCAAACGUUGCUCGGAAUUAUUGGGCGUAAAGCGCACGUAGGUGGUCUGUUAUGUCAGAUGUGAAAGCCCUCGGCUUAACUGAGGAAGUGCACCUGAAACUGGCAGGCUUGAGUACGAAAGAGGGUCGCGGAAUUCCCGGUGUAGAGGUGAAAUUCGUAGAUAUCGGGAGGAACACCGGUGGCGAAGGCGGCGACCUGGUUCGAUACUGACACUGAGGUGCGAAAGCGUGGGGAGCAAACGGG